rnacentral:rRNA from 1 species
GAUGAACGCUGGCGGCGUGCCUAAUACAUGCAAGUCGAGCGAAUGGAUUAAGAGCUUGCUCUUAUGAAGUUAGCGGCGGACGGGUGAGUAACACGUGGGUAACCUGCCCAUAAGACUGGGAUAACUCCGGGAAACCGGGGCUAAUACCGGAUAACAUUUUGAACCGCAUGGUUCGAAAUUGAAAGGCGGCUUCGGCUGUCACUUAUGGAUGGACCCGGGUCGCAUUAGCUAGUUGGUGAGGUAACGGCUCCCCAAGGCAACGAUGCGUAGCCGACCUGAGAGGGUGAUCGGCCACACUGGGACUGAGACACGGCCCAGACUCCUACGGGAGGCAGCAGUAGGGAAUCUUCCGCAAUGGACGAAAGUCUGACGGAGCAACGCCGCGUGAGUGAUGAGGGCUUUCGGGUCGUAAAACUCUGUUGUUAGGGAAGAACAAGUGCUAGUUGAAUAAGCUGGCACCUUGACGGUACCUAACCAGAAAGCCACGGCUAACUACGUGCCAGCCGCCGCGGUAA